UUCACUAGGACCCUGCCUGCCUGCAC
rnacentral:piRNA from 1 species